CCUUAUCACUUGCUCUCUACAAUGUUUGGCCAAAAUGAGAUCUAGAUCCUUACAGGAUCUGUCCUCGUCAAUAUCUCACUUUGAGCUAAUGCAUUAAAAUUCAAUUUCUAACAGUUUAUUUAACUCAUUAUUCACUUUAUGUCACAAUUAACACUAUAUAGGAACCUUCAACCUCCUCCUACCUCCAUCCACUCUUUUUAUUACUCAUUGAUUCCCUUACUUUUCUUCUUCUUCUUCUUCUUCUUCUCCUUCUCCUCCUUAUAUUCAUCUAUAUAUACUUUAAUUCUAGGCUUUUUGGAGAAGCGAUUUGCAGCUUCGGCUUGUGCUCUUCUCACCUGUGGCUUGACAUUAGGCUCAGAAGGUAUGGUGCAGCCAAGGAUGACUUGCCGACGCUUCAAUUACUAGAGUUUUCAUUCGAAAAUUCUAGUGAAAUCUAAAAAUAUCGGCAAGUCCGUCCUUGACUACAUCUUGCUUUCUGCUCCUCAUGUUUGGCUUGUGGUGAUAACAAAUGUUUGUCUUUAACAAACUUUUGGAGUUCUUUAAGUGCUAAACUGAUAUCUCGAACUUUUGGAAUCAAUGGCUAGCGCCAACGAUCCGACAAAAACAUCAAAGUUUACAACUGCUUCAGCAAGGACAAAGCGGCCAGACCCUGGCUAAGAGGAGAAGCUUUCCCAAUCUCUCCUUAAUUUAUGCUUUAUUUUUCUAACUUUUUUUUUUUUUUUUUUCCCGCAGAUAGAUCUUUUUCUCCUAUGGAUCAAACUUGCUCAUAGAUAUGUUCUCAUCAGAUGUUCAGUUAAUAUUGUUGUUUAUUGAUUUGACUCUUAUAGGAAAUCUUUACAAUAUUUCUUAGAUCAAUUGUUCAUUCAUACGUUAAUUCCCAGCAGUUCAUUUUGUUGCUUUUUUUUUUUUUUUGUGGCUAAAAAUCUUAAACAGAAGAUCUUCAUGUAUCAGUCUUAUCAGAUCAUCACUGGAAAAGUGCUUUUACCAUCAUUGGGACUAUAACUUUGCCAGUAUAUUUGAUCAUUGAUCUCAUGUUCCCUUGCUGUAGUACACUAGGUACUGUUUUUUGUUUUAUGCCAUGAGACUGAUUCAUCAGA